UACGUAAGGGGCAAGCGUUGUCCGGAAUCACUGGGCGUAAAGCGCACGUAGGCGGUGCAGCAAGUCAGGGGUGCAAGCUCCAGGCCUAACCUGGAAACUGCCUCUGAAACUACUGUGCUUGAGGGUCAGAGGGGAAACUGGAAUUCACGGUGUAGCGGUGAAAUGCGUAGAUAUCGUGGAGAACACCCGUGGCGAAGGCGGGUCUCUGGGCCGUAACUGACGCUGAGGAGCGAAAGCGUGGGGAGCGAACAGG
rnacentral:rRNA from 1 species